rnacentral:rRNA from 1 species
GACGAACGCUGGCGGCGUGCCUAAUACAUGCAAGUCGAGCGCUGAAGGUUGGUACUUGUUCCUACUGGAUGAGCAGCGGACGGGUGAGUAACGCGUGGGGAAUCUGCCUUUGAGCGGGGGACAACAUCUGGAAACGAAUGCUAAUACCGCAUAAAAACUUUAAACACAAGUUUUAAGAUUGAAAGAUGCAAUUGCAUCACCCAAAGAUGAGCCCGCGUUGUCUUAGCUAAGUUGGUAGGGAAAGGCCUAACAAAGGGAAGAUACAUAGCCGGACUGAGAGGGGGGACGGCCCAAAUGGGAACGGAACACGGCCCAAAACCCUUAGGGGGGGAGCAGUAGGGGAACUUCGGCAAUGGACGGAAGUCUGACCGAGCAACGGCGGGUGGGGGAAGAAGGUUUUCGGAUCGUAAAAACCUGUUGGUAGGGAAGAACGAUAGGGGGAGGGAAAAGCUCAUCAAGUGACGGUACCUACCCAGAAAGGGACGGCUAACUACGUG